CACGUAGGGCGCAAGCGUUGUCCGGAAUUAUUGGGCGUAAAGAGCUCGUAGGCGGUCUGUUGCGUCCGCUGUGAAAACUCGGGGCUUAACCCCGAGCCUGCAGUGGAUACGGGCAGACUAGAGGUAGGUAGGGGAGAAUGGAAUUCCCGGUGUAGCGGUGAAAUGCGCAGAUAUCAGGAGGAACACCGGUGGCGAAGGCGCUGCUCUGGGCCGGUACUGACGCUGAGGAGCGAAAGCGUGGGUAGCAAACAGG
rnacentral:rRNA from 1 species